rnacentral:rRNA from 1 species
UACGUAGGGCGCAAGCGUUGUCCGGAAUUAUUGGGCGUAAAGAGCUCGUAGGCGGUCUGUUACGUCUGAUGUGAAAACCCAGGGCUUAACCCUGGGCUUGCAGUGGAUACGGGCAGACUAGAGGCAGGUAGGGGAGAAUGGAAUUCCCGGUGUAGCGGUGAAAUGCGCAGAUAUCAGGAGGAACACCGGUGGCGAAGGCGGGUCUCUGGGCCGAAACUGACGCUGAGUGAGCGAAAGCCAGGGGAGCAAACGGG